GUAGAGACCGAUAGCAACCACGUGAUCAGUAAAAAUCGUGUAUUUUCACGUGAAAUUAUUUUUCGGAAUUCCGUACAUCGCCAUAGAGUAGUUGAAAAACAAAAAGGGGUUCCGAAAGUACAAGUUGUUGCUGUGACUGAAUCGAUGAUUGAGAGGGUCGUCUCGACGAAAGAUAUAGAAAUUUGGCCAUAGUUUAGAUUAGGAGUACGUCAAUGUAAUAAUAGUGGACUAAAUGUUUCGUCCGUGCAGAAUGGCACUUUUUACCUCACGAAAUCCACCACCAUGCAUAGCUGCGCUACGUAAACAAAGUUGUUGAUGUAGCGUGAUCGUGAUGUCCGAGUGCUGCGAGUUUCAAUACUGUUUAUGUAGUCAUUGAGAGUUUAAACAAAGUUUCUUCUGAGAAGAGGAAUUCGAUGGAUGUAUUCAACGUGGACAACGAAAUCAUAAUUUCGUUUGCAUCAUCCUAAGGACCAGUGCAAGUUGAAAUGGGAUUCCAGCCAACAACUUCAACAGCAAUUUGCCAUGAAAAUCAGCAAGAAAGGUACUUCAUUUACAUUGACGAUGUCAUAUCCCCUGGACCCCACAACUUUACAGGUUACAGAGAAAAUUCAAGAACUUCUGCAAAAUGUGGGACUUGGAUAGAAUCAAUAAUGUAUUUGUGAGCCCAGAGCAAUGGAUAUAUUGUGCAACAUACUAAAGUGUGAAUUUAAUGGAAAACAAGUACAUGUACUCAUGUAUUACAUGUCUUUUUUAAAGACAAUAAUAUUGUAUAAAUAUAGAGGAAGUGUCAUUGUUGAUUAUUCUAAGUUUUUGAUAUAUCAAAAUCAGUAAACAUUUCUAAAUGAAAAUAAAAUACCAAUUUUAUAACUUUAAUCAAUGUGUUUGAGAUGACCUUCAAAACGGAUGCCCAGUGUCACAGUAGAUGUGGCACGCUAAAGAACCCUCACUGCUCAAUGGCCGUAAGCGCCGAGCAAAGGCCUAAAUUUAAAGCCGUUCACCGGUCUUGGUAACGUCUCCAUAUGAGUAAAAAAUUCUCGAGAGAGACGUUAAACAAGAUACAAUCAAUCAAUCCAUGGGUCGAUUGGGUGGAAAUCUUUCCAUUGAUAUUAAAUAUAAAGUUGUUAUUUAAACAUAUUUGGUGCACUAUGCUGUAUAAUCAUAUCAAUUUCUUAUAAUAGGUAAUCGUGUCUGGUUAUUAUAAAAAAAAUGUAUGAAAAAUAACUAAAUAUUAAUGCAAUCAUUGUGAGUGCAAAAAGGUCAAUCGCAAGAGCACAUACAUAAAUGCAUUGGCGGAUAUAAGGGGUGGGGUGGGGGGCAACCGGCGCGAGCCCCCCUAAAAUUUUCAAGUUUAAAGUAAAUCGUGGUCUCUUGUUUAGAGAAAUAUAUACGAUAAAAGCCAUAAUUUCCUCCACUUUCAGAGAAAUAAAUGUCUGACAAAAUCUUUUGAUUUAUUGAAUUACUUUUAGUGGGAGAACUGCUACUUUUUCCAAAAACCCUUAAAAUUUGCGUUAUUUUAUUAAUUUCACCUUAUUAAAAAUGACAGAAAAUAAUAAAAAUUACUACAUAGGAGACAUAUUUUAAGCCCUAAAAAAUCUGUAAAAUCCAGGAGUUUCUGGGGAAUCCCCCCCCCCUUCAAGGCGGCCCCCAGACCCCUGCCUCAUACAGUUGCACCCCCCCAUCCCAACUUCAAUUCCUGAUCCGCCCCUGAAAUAGCUUAUAGAAACCUUCUUAUUGUCAUGUUCAAUUUUCAAAGAGGUAAUUUGGGAAUACUUAAACAUUCUAAGUUAUAAAAAGGUCAGUAGUUUAUCUCUGCUGGCUGAAUCUUUCUUCUCAAUGCACCGAGUGCAAUUCAUGACGUCUAUGUUCCUACUCAUUCUUUCUCCUCCAUACCAUGCAGUAUAUUAAAGGGGUUGGGAUGUAAUGGAGACAUUUGUUUUAACAAAUAUAAAUUGUAUUUCAAUUUUUUGUGGGGAUUUUUAUUUGGGAAAACUCUUGAUAUUAAUCAUCAAAUAUGAUGACGUAUGAUAAAUCUAUAUUCUGAGUGUAAGUGCACAAAGGUCAACAACGAGAACUACAACAAAAUAUAAGCUAAAAUUUGAAAUACAUACUUUCUGUAUUAUAUUUAUUAAUUUAAAAAAGGUAUUACAAAGAAUCUUCGAAUUUCAGCAAGCUGUUUUUGAUGGAUUGUUUACAACAUCUUUUAAUAACCCUUUUUCUUACGAAAAUGUGUAGUUUGUUAAAAGGGGGUGGGGUUAGGAAUUUUUUGCUACUUCCAUAUUGAACCCCAUUAUGGUGUAUAAUUUUUUUCAUAUAUUUUACUUACUAAUAGACUGACCACUUAAUGAAAUAAAAUAAGAAAUUUGAUGGGUAAUUUUUUUGCAGCGUAAGCAAAGGUAUGACCCUGUGUGCAAAUAUUGUGCACUGUUUUAAGGUAAUUGGCCAAUGUAGCUCUGUUGAAGUAAUGUUGUUGCAUGUUAAUAAUGAUUGCUGAACUUGAAAUUGAUGUGUAAUAUACAAUUAUGUGAAAGGUUGUUUGGAACCAUAUAUGACAAGUUAUUAUCCUUUUUACAAUAAAAAUGUUAUAGCUCUAUUUGUAUAUUGCUCUCUACUUAUUUUUCUUCACUUUUUACGCUUUACAAGGACUAAAGAAGGUGUUGUUAAAAUCGCCAUAUUUCUCAAAAACAAGGUCGAUUACCUACAUUGAUUUUUUAUUAUGUUUUAUAUCGAAGCUUCAUUAUAAACAUAUAUCAAAAUAAAAAAAAUUCAAUGGUUAUUUUUUUUAGCAUCAACCUAUCAAUCUCUACCUUAAUGCUUUCUACUAAAACUGCAUUUUUUUUAAACUAAAUAAAGUAGAUAUGAAAUUUUUCAAUUUCAAAAUAGUGUUGUACAUUUCAUCGAUAUCAAAUUUCUCUAGUGUAGCAUACCUCCUUAUCAACGUGAACCCGGGCUUGCCGGCUACUAAGCGAGCCGUACUACGUCACCGCGACCGUACUACGUCACCGCAACCGUCCUACGCUACCGCGACCGUACUACGUCACCACGACUGUACCGGUAUUAAUUUUAAAAUACAUGUAUAAUUGACAGUCCCGAAAGUCGCUCCGGUGAGAUAAAACAAAAUUCCAAACAGAAAAGGAACAUAUUUGUUGAAAUUAAAUUUGAUACUGGCUAUUUUUGCAUGCACUUUUAAAAUGGGUAUCUUACAUUUAAAAUAGCCAGAACUCAUAUCACAUCAUCCAGAAUAUAAUCACCAUGGGCUUUGUUAAGGUCAGUAAAAAUCUAAAUAUAUUUGGUUCUUUCUUUUCUAAAUAAUCCAGACAUCACCAGCAAAAUAUAAAUGAAAUAGCGAGUUAUGAUAGACAUCAGCUAGAAUUCUCGGCAUUUAGUCUACGACUUGGUGCUGAGCCCGACCAUAGUCUUGUCUUGACUUGUAAUGUACUUCAAGACGUGGUUGAAGACGCACUCUAUUCCAUUUUGCGUUCAUGACAAUACGAGGGCAUGCAUAACUACACGUCCCGUGGGGAUCCGGGUUGUCGUCAGAGGUGACUAAAUGGGGCGGUCCUUCGGAUGAGACCGCAAAAACCGAGUUCCCGUGGCACAGCAGGUGUGGCACGAUAAAGAUCCCUCCCUGCUCAAAGGCCGUAAGCGCCGAGCAUAGGCCUAAAUUUUGCAGCCCUUCACCGGCAGUGAUGACGUCUUCAUAUGAGUGGAAAAAAAUUGAGUGGGACGUUAAACAACAUACAAUUAAUCAAUCAUAACUACACAUGUGUAAACUAGCAUUGUUUUCACUGUCUCAUGUUGUACUUGGUGUGCCACUUAGAGGUCUUUGGUAGUCUAUAACAAUCUAAUGAAA